CAAACGGAUGAGGGUGGAUGGUGCCGGGCUACCCUGUAGGGCUGUACCAAGAUCAGUGCUAGCUGGGCCGCAGAAACGGGUACAUAGGUCUGUUCAUCAACACAAAGGAUGCUAUUUUUGACAUCUUUAUGUUGCUAUGGAUUUGUUACCUGCUGACUGAAAGCCUCUGUCAGGUACACAUCAUACAACCAGUUAGAGCAGCAAACGGCCUGUUCUUGCUAGAACAGAAACUUCAUCUAUGGCAGCAGCAAGAGAUGGGAUUUGUGACACCAACGCUAAAGUGAGACUAAGCUUCAACCCUUCAUAUAGAACUGUUUGCUGAAAGAGAAACCUGCAGUUCCAAAAGCAGUGCUUGAAUGCGUGAGAGCAUGCUUCUCAUAGAAGGUGAAUGAUGUCUUAAAAAACUUUAUGAAAUGCAAACUCAGUUAAAUCUUCUCAAGUUUCUUCUUUGAAAGGCAACAAUAAAUCAGUAAUUUGACUUUUCCUAGAGCUGUUACUUGAAUAAUUUGGGAGAGGAACAGCUAAGGUUCUGAUGUAUGUAUAAGAUGCCUUUCUCUCCUUUCAGAUCAAGAUUUGUAGUUUGAUUUACUAUGAAGACCAGAAAGGUCAACUUUAUU